AAGACGACCACGUUGAUAGGCCGGGUGUGGAAGUGCGGCAACGCAUGAAGCUUACCGGUACUAAUAGCUCGAUCGGCUUGAUCG
rnacentral:rRNA from 1 species